UCUAGUGGUUCUAAAUCUAUCGGUAUUACCUUCGGAAUUUCAACUAGAAUACAGGUGAAGUCUCUGUGGAACUACGUGCUCGCACAAGGAACUUGCCUCAGAAUUCAGACAAGAGAAGCGGACUGUGCCAUUGACCUCUCUAGCAAUACCAACCGUCUUUACAAUGAUUCCAAGAGAUAGUUUUAAGAAAAACGUCAGUUGGGUUGAUUGACCAAUGGGCAUCUGCAGUGAGAGAUGAAGAUAGUUUAGUUAUUUCUCUCCGAGGUUGCUAACUUUAUCAGAAUCGAAAUAAAUAUCAAGCUGUAGUAGAAAUAAUGAAGUUUGUACUUAUUUAUCUAAAAAAGUAUGUAUUUUUAUUUAUGCAUAAGAAAAAUUUAAUAAGUAAGGGAAAGAGA